rnacentral:rRNA from 1 species
GACGAACGCUGGCGGCGUGCCUAACACAUGCAAGUCGAGCGAGAAUCUUAGAUUAGAUUCCUUCGGGAUGAAGAUUUAAGAGGAAAGCGGCGGACGGGUGAGUAACGCGUGAGUAACCUGCCCUUAACUGCGGGAUAACACAUCGAAAGGUGUGCUAAUACCGCAUAAUCCGGGGAUAUCGCAUGAUAACCCUGGCAAAGAUUUAUUGGUUAAGGAUGGACUCGCGUCUGAUUAGAUAGUUGGUGAGGUAACGGCUCACCAAGUCGACGAUCAGUAGCCGAACUGAGAGGUUGAUCGGCCACAUUGGGACUGAGACACGGCCCAGACUCCUACGGGAGGCAGCAGUGGGGAAUAUUGCGCAAUGGGGGAAACCCUGACGCAGCAACGCCGCGUGAAGGAAGAAGGCC